ACGCUUGUUUGUGGAAGUAUUGUCACCGCUGCCAGCUCAAAGCUAUCGGGGCUGUGUUUGCCUGUGGUGCCAGGGGUUUGCCAUCACUGCUUUAUUUCAUGUCGUAUCCGUAAUGCCUAUUAGCAGUACUCGUGGUGUUGGGAGAAGAAUGUGUACUUCACCUGUUCCACAUUGAAGACAUGUAUCAGAAGUAAAACUCCAGAACUGAGCUGUACUAUAGAGCAAGAAAACUCCCUGUACUCCUCCRAACACUUCCUGACUGCAGACAGAGUGGUGAUGUUUAUCAGUUUGUCCUGACAAAAUGAUGAAUGGCGAUUAGUUGAAACAGCCUGGCUACUUGCUUUGGUGUUGGUUCUGCUAUGUGUGUGCCCUGCUCAAAUGCAGAACAGCCUCCAUGCAGGUGGAAGCAUCUCAAACAACUUCAUCCAGGACAGAAACAAAUAAAGAAGAGGAAAUCCUGAAGAGCCUUGUGGACAUGCUGCGGCAUGUAAUGCAAGGUGUUCCCACGCAGGGCCCACCACCAAAGCAUACAGCCAUUAUACCCCCAGAAGGGCAGAAUUCUUUUAAUGAUACACUAGAUUCUCUUUGGUUAAAAAUAUACAGAAAGCAUGUUAAAAAGCAAAAAAACCUUAAAAGCUUUGCAAUUACAGGAAGAUCUAUUCCUUCUACAACUCCAUCGUUUUUGACACUCCAGGCUGAGCCAGAUGUUUCUGUUGUGUUGCGUGCUUAUGAAUCUACACAGUUGAAAGCACCACUGAAAAAGCUAGCCUUAAUAUUUCAGACUGUUGCUACAAAAAAAGAAAAAUAAAUAAGUCUUUUGAUGAGUUAAUAAAUGAGCUUAGCGAAAACUUUAAAGAAUAUUA
rnacentral:lncRNA from 1 species